AGUGACAGGUCAUGAAAGAUAAAGCUACAGACCCACUGGAGAUGUGGGCCAGCCGAAGUUUCAACCAGAUGUCGCCAGAGUGGCCAGUCUCCCCCAGGCAAAGCAAAGCAAAGCGAUAGUUCCUGGACAACUCCUUUCGUGGUGGACUUCCUGAGGCCCUCUGCGCCGGCUCCCAGCUCUACAGAGCUUGUUCCUGGGGACCAGUUACUCCAGGCUUUGGAUCUCCCCACCUCAAUAGUUCGCAGGGAAGUUCUCCAUCAUUCCACUGGGGCCAGGCCUUGGGUUCCACUCCAGAAGCCCCGAAGCACCCUUCCUCCUGUCCAGAGUCCUCUCUCCUACCUACUUGGGCUUAGGCUCAGCCCACCUGUGGGCUGGGAGGGGAUGGAAGAGACAGGUGGGCCCCUAGAUGCACUGGCUGGAUUGCAGACAUAUUUAUGCUCCAUUUCUAAUGUCUGGUCCUUCCUGUGGUCCCACUGAUGGGGGAACAGAAAGGAAACAGGAGGGGGCUGGGGUGACAGGCACAGCCCACUAGGCUGCCCUCCUCUGCCUCACCCUCCCUCGCCUGGGCCCCAGCUGAGCCCAUCAUCAGAGGCCUCCAGGAGCUGGGGCCACAGUCUGCGUGGGUCUGCCCCUCCCCUCACCCCAGCCUAGAAGACUCCACCUCUCCCAGGUCCUGGCUGGGAUCCGAAGGCCCCGGGCAAGUGGGGGAAGGGGAGCCACUCCUACUUUCCCAGCAGCUGCUGCUGCCUCUUCCUGUUUUGCUAAAACAUUGGCUCCGGACCCAAGGGGGUGGGGGAAAGUCGCCAGGCGCUCUCGCCCCCCCCCCCAAAGGUCAAACUCAUCCCCCUGGUCCUCUUAGCUAGUUAUUUAUAGCUCCCCAGGCCCUGGCUGAGGAGCUACAUCUCUCCUCCCCCAAAUGUCAGCAGCUGUGGCCAUUGCCCCAGGGAUGCAGCCAGAUGUGCUGAUCACUCCAGAUGCGCAGUGCCAGGAUUUGGGAGCGCAGGCCAGGCCCUUUCUCCUGGACAUUCCCUGCUGCCUGGUUCAUCCUCCACUCUGAGUCAACAAACCUGAGUCCUGGGGGAUGGGGGGACAUCAGGAAGUUCCCACCUAUUUUCUCCACUCCCAUAGCCUGAUCCCAAGACGGGACAGCUCGGGCUAUAGACCCACGUGGAUGUCUUUGCAUAAAUUAGGACAGGACUCAUUUGGAGACUGGAUUUGUAGAAGUCAGCUGCAGUUCAGAGGGACAGAAGGGUCAGGAUGCUGGAUGCUGUCUUCUUACUAACGUCAGCACGGAGAUCCACUCCUGAGAGUCCAGCGUCCAAAGAGCAGGCUCUGCGAUUCUUUUCUUUGGCUACAUCCUGCUCUCCAGGAGAUGAUGAAUUCCCCAGGGAGAGGACUGCAGCUUCCUUUGCCUCUGUGCCAGGAAGUUGCUCAACAAAUAAGAGAUUAUACGUAAUGAAAAAGAGUUGAAGUCAGUGGUGGUCACGUGUGGGUGGAUCCUUCAAGGUUGUAACAAGGGGAGAAGUCCAAACCCAUCCUAAAAGACACUCCUGGCAAAGAGAGUGUCAGGACCUCCUCAAACGCUUGCCUAGAGAUUCCAAGGCCUGAGAAGGUCCUGCUGCGGCCUGUUGCAAGGCUGAACUCCCGAGCCCACCAGUGGGUGGACCACAGCAUCCCUGCAGGGGCCACUGGAGCACGUAAUUGUGAGCUGGCUACAGAAAGGCAUUUUGCAACUCAGACGAAUUUCUUCUCGCUCACGAUUAGGGUAUGGCCCAGUGGCUGCCUCCCUGACUGUAAUCUCUGCUGGCACAGGCAUCUCCGGGGCUGGGCAGUGGGGGCUGUGGAAGGAGGGCUGACCUAGAAGCCUGGACGCGGGAGUUCUCUGCCCGCUCCUCGCCAGGGAUUAACCAUGGCAUGGCUGGCAGGGAGACUGGGUUCUCAGUUUCCUCAUCUGUAAAAGGAGUGAUGUGAUUAGAUUAGAGUGGCCCAAACCUAACCACACCUUAGGAUUACCUGGGGAGCUUCAGAUUACUAGGUACUCCCUUCACCCCUUGCAUCUGCUGGGGGCUGUGAGAUGGCCCAGGAAUCUGUUUUUCACAGGCUCUUCUACAUGAUUUUUUUGGGGCCACACCCACAGCCUGUGGAAGUUCUGGGGCCAGGGAUCGAACCUGCGACCCUAGCCACUGCAGUGACAAUGCCGGAUUCUUAACCUGCUGAGCCACAGGGAAACUCCUACAGGAUUUUGACAUAAUGUCAAGUAUGGGGGAUCCUACAGACUAUAGAUAUAAAUAAACUGUAAAUAUAAAUCACUUGCAGCUCUUAGGAGAAAAGAUUCUAGUAAAUGGAAUGGCUGUAACAAGAGGCUUUGGUGCUGUGGGGUUUUAUCAGAGGGCAAAUGGUGGGUAGUUUAUUUCAUCAUCAUCAUCACCAUCAAUUACUAUUUUUUCCAGGCCUUUUUUGGCUGCACCUGCAGCAUGCAAAAGCAUGCGGGGCCAGGGAUCAAACCAGCACCCCCGUGGUGACAACACCAGAUCCUUAACCCGCUGCACCACCAGGGAACCCCUCCAGUUUUAUUGAGAUAUAAUUGACCUACAUCACUGUGUAAGGUGUACAGCGCAAUUUGAUUUACAUACAUCAGGAAAGGGUUAUCAGACUAAGUUUAGUAAAUAUGUAUCAACUCAUAUAGAUACAAAAUUAAAGAAAUGGAAACACCCUUUUCUUCCUGCGAGCAGAGGACUCAGGAUUGAGGCCCUCGCUUACCUCAAGGCUGGAGCCGGGCUGGGAGAGAAGGGAAGGGAGGAAUGGGCCGUCCCUGUAGGUGGGGCCUCUUGGCACGGGGACCUUUCUCUCUCACUCUCCUGGGUGGAGUUUGGCUGCACGGGCUUUGGCACCAGCCUCUGGAGCUGAGAGAGUGUCUUCCCAUCCGUAUUCCUCCCCCACUUCGGUUUCAGCCCAGAGGACAGCCCCCUUCUCCUCCUCCUGCCCCGACUUCCUCCCCAGGCUCCCUCACCAACCUCAUUCCUAAGCCUCGCUAAUCUGUUUGCCACCCUCUGCUUCCUUGCCUCGCCCUUGCUCAUGCCAUUCUCUCCACCUGGAAUGUCACCCCCGCCCCCCAACACCAAUUCACAUUUCUGGGCUCCUUUGAAACCCAGCUCCAGACUGGCUGACGUCGUUGGGGCUGUGAUCUGCCCAGGUCGCUCCUCUUCGGAGAUAGACUCAUUUAUGCUUGAAAUCACAGAAUCAGAGAACAGCUUUAGACUCAGAAAGAAAUAAGUACAGAUGACCUAAACCAGCUCUCGCAUUCAAUGGACGGAAACCCUGAGGCCCAGAGAGGUCUUGACUUGGCCAAGGUCACACAGUCGUGAGGUUUACUGGUGGUGGUGGUGGCGGCGAACAGUUGGCUUCACAAGAGGCUUUCAAGUAUCCUACGUCUUUGUUUUAUUUCCUCGACACGUGGUGAUGCCUAUGAGGGCAGAGGUGAUGUUGCUGUUUUAAUUGGUGUUCUUAAGCUCCACGGUGCUGUGUAUGUGCAGGCAACUGUAAUAGUUCUAAAACUCGCAGGGGUGCACAUUUUGCAUAUGAUCUCAGACCAGCCCUGAGCGGUAGGUCACCAAGGCAUUGCUAUCUUACUGAGCAGGAAACUGAGACUUAGAAAGGUGUGACCCAGGAAGUUAAUGGCAGAACCGGGGCCAAAACGCAAGUUCCCUGCCUCCCAGCCUCAGCCCAGGACCCUGACACCCAUGAUGCUGUUCUUCUAGAGCCUUCCUGAGGUUCCCGGCAGGGGACCUAGAGUAGUCAAAGGGGUGGCCUCCGCCGUCUUUCGCCUUCCUUGUGAUUUCUUCACUUUGGGGUUGAGCAGACCUUGCCUCUGGCCUCCUACCCCUCCCCAUCCUGUCCCACCUCGUUCUCCUUGUGUCCCCCCACAGCCUGUUGGCACAUUGACCCAUACGCAUACAUGCUCAGAGCUGCAGGUGUCUAGGGCAACAGACCACAGGGGAAACCACAUCACCUUUGUUGACACUGGAGGGAGGCAGGGGGGCCGGGAAAGAACCUGCUUACGUCUCUCCACCUGCCUCUGUCCCCGCAGUCAUCUCACCUCCCAGCCUGGUGGGUCAUCUGGACUUGACCCAUGGCCCAGCCUCUUCCUGAGGACCCAUCCAAACCUGGCCCGGGAGGAUGUAUCGCCCCUUCUCACAGAUCCUGAAAUCCUGGAGGGAGGUGGGGCGGUCUGCCUAGCUGCACCCCAAAGCCACACCCCCAAUCCUAGCCAGUUUACUGACCUAGCUCCUCUGAUUCCACCUGCGCAGUGCAGCAGACAAAGGUGGAAACCAGGAAUGAGAGGACAUGGCUGGGGGUCGGUAAGGAAGGAAAUUUGACAUCUAGGCCAUCACUCCUACAUCAAAGGGGACCGCUAGGGAGUUCCUGUCGUGGCUCAGCGGUUAAUGAACCCACCUGGCAUCCAUGAGGACGCAGGUUCGGUCCCUGGCCUCGCUCUGUGGGUUAAGGAUCAGGUGUUGCCGUGAGCUGUGGUUUAGGCCAGUGGCUACAGCUCCAAUUAGACCCCUAGUCUGGGAACCUCCACACGCCACAGGUGCGGCCCUAAAAAGACAAAAAGACACCAAAAAAAGGUGGAGGGGGGACCUCUAGUAACCAGGCUACAUGGGAUCUGUGGUGUUUGGACCUGCUGAAAGAAGCUGCACAGGCUCUGAAUCAGGCCCAUUUGGGAUUAAGUCACUUGCUGGCUCUGUGGCCUUGGGCAAAUCAUUUUGUGUUUCUGAGCUUUAGUUUGCUAACUAAAACAAUGGGGAUAAUAAUGAGAUAUAAGUGAAAGGUCCUGGAACAGCACAGGAUACCAAGGAGACGCUCAAUAAAUCCUAAUUACCCUCCCUCCCUCCUUUCCUUCCACUUGUUGCAUCUGGCUCCAUGAAACCCUUUAUUUGGAAUUGGAGCUCUACCUCCCCUAUUUACGUGCAAGUCCAAACCCUGAGCAUUGGCAUCUGAUCCCAGGUUCAGAAACAGGAAUGCACAUCCCCACAGCCCAAGGAAGUGGCUGUCCCUCGGAGAGUGCACCCAGGCCAAGGACGAACACCUUCUGAUCGGCCUUGUGGAGAGGGUGUGAGAAGUCCAGGUUAGGAAAGGGCUUGUGGCUUCAGACACCACAUCGAGAAAGCGGGUCAGGAAUGGUCUCAGAGGCCUGCGGUUUAGACCGAUGCCUUCGGAUGGAGCUUUGAACCCUGGCACAAGGUGGGCGCCCAAUAACACUUGUUGAAUGAACGCAUGGCCUCAGCACUUACUAGUUGUGUAACGUUGGUCAUGUUUCUCAACUUUUAUGAGUCGCACUUUAAUCACAAACAUAACAAGGAUUACUGCUAAGAAUAAAUGAUCUCAUGUUUGCCAGGGGGCUGGCAUAGGGCUGCUGCAUGGCACACAGUCAGUAAAUGGUAGCUAAGUAAGGGGAUGUGAGAUAAACGAGAAAGAGAAGGUCAAAGAGGCUCAGAACCCCAAAGCAAGCGGAAGGUGGCUGCCUUCAGGCUUCGUACUGGCCAGAGACUCCAAGAAGACUCUGGGGAGCCAAGGCAGGUCCUGUGGGGCUAAUCUCUUCUGCUAGGUGCUUAGCUGAGCAGUCUGUGAGAGGCCUGGACUCAAGAGC
rnacentral:lncRNA from 1 species